ACACAUGCAAGUCGAGGGGCAGCAUGGUCUUAGCUUGCUAAGACUGAUGGCGCCCGGCGCACGGGUGAGUAACACGUAUCCAACCUGCCGUCUACUCUUGGACAGCCUUCUGAAAGGAAGAUUAAUACAAGAUGGCAUCAUGAGUCCGCAUGUUCACAUGAUUAAAGGUAUUCCGGUAGACGAUGGGGAUGCGUUCCAUUAGAUAGUAGGCGGGGUAACGGCCCACCUAGUCUUCGAUGGAUAGGGAUUCUGAGAGGAAGGCCCCCCACAUUGGAACUGAGACACGGUCCAAACUCCUACGGGAGGCAGCAGUGAGGAAUAUUGGUCAAUGGGCGAGAGCCUGAACCAGCCAAGUAGCGUGAAGGAUGACUGCCCUAUGGGUUGUAAACUUCUUUUAUAAAGGAAUAAAGUCGGGUAUGGAUACCCGUUUGCAUGUACUUUAUGAAUAAGGAUCGGCUAACUCCGUGCCAGCAGCCGCGGCAAUACGGAGGAUCCGAGCGUUAUCCGGAUUUAUUGGGUUUAAAGGGAGCGUAGAUGGAUGUUUAAGUCAGUUGUGAAAGUUUGCGGCUCAACCGUAAAAUUGCAGUUGAUACUGGAUAUCUUGAGUGCAGUUGAGGCAGGCGGAAUUCGUGGUGUAGCGGUGAAAUGCUUAGAUAUCACGAAGACUCCGAUUGCGAAGGCAGCCUGCUAAGCUGCAACUGACAUUGAGGC
rnacentral:rRNA from 1 species